GAGUAAUCUGUUACUACCUUAUGAAUCAGAGAAAUCUAUUACUGCCUGAUGAAUCAGAGUAAUCUAUUACUACCUGAUGAAUCAGAGUAAUCUAUUACUACCUAAUGAAUCAGAGUAAUCUGUUACUCCCUGAUGAACCAGAGUAACUUGUUACUACCUGAUUUUAAAUGUACUUUAAGUAUUAAAAGUAA